GUCUCUGCCUUAGGGAAUAUGCUUCCUGCUCUUUAACUCCCUGCAAACUGGUAGUUUUUGGGGAUAAACCCUGAAAGUUCAGCUCUCCUUGCCUGUGGUGCCAAUGCUUCCUGCUCACACUGGCCUCACACCAGGUUAAUUCCACUGCUGUGGUGAUUUGCAUGAGUACAAGCACAAAAACCCUCAUGCAAGCUGGAAAGGCUUUACCAUUAUUUCCCCAACACUGAAAUAUGUGUCUGCAGUGUGGUGCUUUUUAGCACAGCAUCCACUCAGAUGGUGGGGAAUUCAUCACAGCCCAGGCCCUCAGUCUGUACCUUCAUUUUCCUCCUGGAUUCCUGCUUGGAUACUGCUUGGUUGCCCACUAAGCCCAUCAUGCCACCAUGAGACCUCAGUGUAGAGCUGGCACAUCUGCCACAUCUGCAGGGGCACUAGAUGUGGACAUCUGCAUUUAGGUACCUGAAUCAAGCCCUGAAAUUCCAGAACAAGGAAAGAAGAUCCAUCUCCCCUAAACUGAACCACCAACAGGUACUUCAGAAAUCAUCCCAGCCUUUGUGCUGGGGUUUAGACAUAGGCCAGGAGCUCUCAAGGACAACCACCAGCCAUGUUCUACACCUGCAAGUCUACCUGGAGGGGACCUGAAUGGCACUGCCAGAUUUCUCAUGGCUCUUCAGAAUGCCUGGGUUUGGGAUGGCCCCCGUUCUGAUGGUGUUUCAGAGCUGUUCUACAGGACUGUGGCUGUUAGUUGUGUAAUUUGGAUUUAUAUACAGUGACUGAUCAUGUGCCAAGAGUUUUAUUAUGGACAACAAAUCCCAUUCAAUCAACAGCAGAGCCCAAACAGCCAUUGUUGAGCCCCAGUGCUUAGAACAGAGUUG
rnacentral:lncRNA from 1 species